GUAGGAGAGCGUUGUAAUCAGCGAUGAAGGUAUACCGUGAGGGGUGCUGGAGCGAUUACAAGUGAGAAUGCCGGUAUGAGUAGCGCAAGAUAAGUGAGAAUCUUAUCCACCGUAAGACUAAGGUUUCCAGGGGAAGGCUCGUCCGCCCUGGGUUAGUCGGGACCUAAGGCGAGGCCGAAAGGCGUAGUCGAUGGACAACAGGUUGAUAUUCCUGUACUAGUAUUGUUAGUGAUGGAGGGACGCAGUAGGCUAAAGGGAGCCAGUUAAUGGAUUCUGGUCUAAGCAGUGAGGUGUGGAAUGUGUCAAAUGCAUUUUCCUUUAACAUUGAGCUGUGAUGGGGAAGCAACUACGGUUGCGAAGCCCUUGAUGUCACACUGCCAAGAAAAUCUUCUAGCGUUUAAUUCAAUACUACCCGUACCGCAAACCGACACAGGUAGUCGAGGCGAGUAGCCUCAGGUGAUCGAGAGAACUCUCGUUAAGGAACUCGGCAAAAUGACCCCGUAACUUCGGGAGAAGGGGUGCUGUAGAAAUACAGCCGCAGUGAAAAGAUCCAAGCAACUGUUUAUCAAAAACACAGCUCUCUGCUAAACCGCAAGGUGAUGUAUAGGGGGUGACGCCUGCCCGGUGCUGGAAGGUUAAGAGGAGGGGUUAGCUUAGGCGAAGCUCUGAAUUGAAGCCCCAGUAAACGGCGGCCGUAACUAUAACGGUCCUAAGGUAGCGAAAUUCCUUGUCGGGUAAGUUCCGACCCGCACGAAAGGCGUAAUGAUUUGGAUACUGUCUCAACGAGAGACUCGGUGAAAUUUUAGUACCUGUGAAGAUGCAGGUUACCCGCGACAGGACGGAAAGACCCCAUGGAGCUUUACUGCAGAUUGAUAUUGAGUACCUGUGAAGCAUGUACAGGAUAGGUAGGAGACUUUGACCUUGGGACGCUAGUUUCAAGUGAGUCGCUGUUGGGAUACUACCCUUGCUUCAUGGUUGCUCUAACCCACACGCAUAAUCGGCGUGGGAGACAGUGUCUGUCGGGCAGUUUGACUGGGGCGGUCGCCUCCUAAAGAGUAACGGAGGCGCCCAAAGGUUCCCUCAACAUGGUUGGAAAUCAUGUGUAGAGUGUAAAGGUAUAAGGGAGCUUGACUGCGAGAGCUACAACUCGAGCAGGUAGGAAACUAGGGCUUAGUGAUCCGGUGGUACCGCAUGGAAGGGCCAUCGCUCAACGGAUAAAAGCUACCCUGGGGAUAACAGGCUUAUCUCCCCCAAGAGUUCACAUCGACGGGGAGGUUUGGCACCUCGAUGUC
rnacentral:rRNA from 1 species